rnacentral:rRNA from 1 species
GACGAACGCUGGCGGCGUGCUUAACACAUGCAAGUCGAACGGAAAGGCCCUGCUUGCAGGGUGCUCGAGUGGCGACCGGGUGAGUAACACGUGGGUGAUCUGCCCCUUACUUUGGGAUAAGCCUGGGAAACUGGGUCUAAUACUGGAUAGGACCAUGCUGUAGGUGGUGUGGUGGAAAGAUUAGUUUCGGUAAGGGAUGAGCUCGCGGCCUAUCAGCUUGUUGGUGGGGUAAUGGCCUACCAAGGGGUCGACGGGUAGCCGGCCUGAGAGGGGGGACGGCGACAUAGGGGCAGAGAUAAAGGGCCGACACCUCUGGGGGGGGGCAGGGGGGGGUAUUGUGCACUGUGGGCGAGACCGAUACGCAGCAGCGGCGUGGGGGAUGACGGGCUUCGGGGUGUGUACUCCUUUCAGCCCUGUCGAAGAGCGUGUGGUGAGGGAAGUGGUAGAGGGAGACCGGCCUAACUCAGU